UACGUAGGGUGCGAGCGUUAAUCGGAAUUACUGGGCGUAAAGCGCGCGUAGGCGGUUUUGUAAGUCGGGUGUGAAAUCCCCAAGCUUAACUUUGGAACUGCAUUCGAGACUGCAUAGCUAGAGUAUGGGAGAGAGAAGUGGAAUUUCCGGUGUAGCGGUGAAAUGCGUAGAUAUCGGAAGGAACAUCAGUGGCGAAAGCGACUUCUUGGACCAAUACUGACGCUCAAGUGCGAAAGCGUGGGGAGCAAACAGG
rnacentral:rRNA from 1 species